rnacentral:rRNA from 1 species
CGCGGCCUAUCAGCUUGUUGGUGGGGUAACGGCCUACCAAGGCAAUGACGGGUAGCGGGCCUGAGAGGGUGGCCCGCCACACUGGGACUGAGACACUGCCCAGACUCCUACGGGAGGCUGCAGUCGAGAAUCAUUCACAAUGGCCGAAAGGCUGAUGAUGCGACGCCGCGUGGAGGAUGAAGGCCUUCGGGUUGUAAACUCCUGUCACUCGUGAAGAAAUGGUUGGGUGCUAAUAUCGCCCUUCCUUGACGUUAACGGGAAAGGAAGCUACGGCUAACUUCGUGCCAGCAGCCGCGGUAAGACGAAGGUAGCUAGCGUUGUUCGGAAUCACUGGGCAUAAAGGGCGCGUAGGCGGCAUCGUAUGUCGGGUGUGAAAUCCCCUGGCUCAACCAGGGAAUUGCGCCCGAAACUGCGGUGCUAGAGUGCAAAAGGGGAGAGCGGAAUUCCUGGUGGAGCGGUGAAAUGCUUAGAUAUCAGGAGGAACACCGGUGGCGAAGGCGGCUCUCUAGUUUGCAACUGACGCUGAGGCGCGAAAGCCAGGGGAGCGAACGGGAUUAGAUACCCCGGUAGUCCUGGCUGUAAACGAUGGGUACUACGUAGAGGGAAGACCGAUUCUUCUCUCUGCCGGAGCUAACGUAUUAAGUACCCCGCCUGGGGAGUACGG